rnacentral:lncRNA from 1 species
CUCAUUCCUUUUAAUUCCUAAAUAGUAUUUAACUGUAUGGCUAUAUCACAUUUCGUUGAUCCACUCACUAGCUGGUGGACAUUCGUAUUAUUUCCAAUUUUUGGUUAUUAUGAAUAAUGCUGCAGUAAUUAGUCACAUGCAAGUGUUUGUUUAGGCUUCAAUAGUUUUAGAAAGAACCUUAAAACAGCAAUUUUUUUUUUUCUGUACCUGUGGCCUAUGGAAAUUCCUGGCCAGGUAUGAAACCCAAGCCAAAUCUGCAACCUAUGCUACACCUGCGGCAACACAGACUCUUCAAGCUACUCCACUGGGACAGGGAUCAGACCCAUGCCUCAGCAGCAACCUGAGCUGCUGUAGAGAAAACACUGGAUUCUUAACCUGCUAUGCCACAGCAGGAACUCCAACACAAUAAUUUUUAAUAGUAAUUCCUGUCAUGGCUCAGUGGUUUAACGAAUCCGACUGGGAACCAUGAGGUUGCAGGUUUGAUCCCUGGCCUUGCUCAGUGGGUUAAGAAUCCGGUGUUGCCGUGAGCUGUGGUGUAGGUCACAGACUUGGCUUGGAUCUGGCAUUGCUGUGGCUCUGGCGUUGGCCGGUGGCCACAGCUCUGACUAGACUCCUAGCCUGGGACCCUCCACAUGCCUGGGGAGUGGCCCUAGAAAAGGUAAAAAGACAAAACAAUAAAACCCCAAUAAUUUUUAAUAGGAAUGGCUUGUGAGGGAGUUCCCGUCGUGGCUCAGGCCAAACCGGAAGCAUAAGAAAAGUUCUCAGGCUAGGGGUUGAAUUGGAAUUGCAGUUGCCGGCCUAUACCACAGCCACAACAAUGCUGGACCUUUAACCCACUGAGCAAGGCCAGGGAUCGAACCUGUGUCCUCAUGGAUACUAGGCAGGUUUGUUACUGCUGAGCCACAACAGGAACCUCUACUUUGACUUUAAAAGCCAACUUUGUUCUUUCCCCAACUUUUUCCAUGGAUCAUGAAUUCACUUGGAGCCAACAAGUGCCUCAAAGAGAAAUCCCCAAACUGUGAAGAAUAGAGGCAUAUUUCCCUUCAGAAAAUUCAGAGCCACGAUGCUCAGCUACUAAAGUGUUCUUCCCCCAACCAGCCUCAGAUGGAGGGAUGUCAUUGUAGUGGCUCAGGAAGUGGCAUGCUCCCCCCUUUCAAGCUACUCUCAUCAUAGAAAGCCUGCUGCUAAGCACGAAACCAGAGGUUUGAACCUGAUGGCCCAUAUGAGGACACUAUGAAGUGUUCUCUUUCACAUCUGGCCAAGGAAGGAAAAAUCUGAAUUUGCGAGUGACAAAGUAAGACUUCUUACUCCAAAUCUAUGUUCCAAAACAAUCCAGGAAAAAAACACAGUACACGUCCAUCUUAAGCCACAACACUCAGCAAUUAUCCUUAGGUAUGACUCUUUUUCCUAUAGCCUCUCCCUGUCUCCUGAGUUAAGUACAAUGAUGCCAAGGCUCCAGCAUCCUUUCUUUAAGAAUUUCAAACAAUGAUAUAGGUCUGGUUUAAUUUCUCCUUUUGCAUUUAGGUAAGACUGUUUCCCAUACCAGUUUUAUAUGUUCUACUAUAGUUUCAAAAGUUAUAAACACACUGAAAUUAAACAUAAAAUGUUACAAAUCAAAAAACAAAACAAAAGGGCCAAAAAC